rnacentral:rRNA from 1 species
CUAACACAUGCAAGUCGAACGGGAAGCUCAUUUCGAUGAGUGGAGAGUGCGCACGGGUGCGUAACACGUGGCUCACCUGGCCCGAAGAGUGGGAUAACUGCGGAAACGUGGGCUAAUACCGCAUAAGCUCCCGCGCUGUAGAGGCGUAGAGAAAAGGCGAUUAGUGCUUCGGGAUGGGGCUGCGGCCCAUCAGGUAUUGGUGAGGUAAGAGCUUACCAAGGCGACGACGGGUAGGGGGCCUGAGAGGUGGUCCCCCACACUGGGACUGAGACACGGCCCAGACUCCUACGGGAGCAGCAGUGAGGGAUAUUGCGCAAUGGACGAAAGUCUGACCCAGCGACGCGCUUGGGCGAAUAAGGUGUUCGGAUCGUACAGCCCUUUCCUGCGUGAUGUCAUGACG